GCCGCAAUAGCUCAGCUGGUAGAGCACCUCAUUCGUAAUGAGGGGGUCGUAAGUUCGAAUCUUAUUUGCGGCACCA
rnacentral:tRNA from 1 species